rnacentral:sRNA from 1 species
AACUGUAAUUAUAACGUAGAUCCCAAAAAUUCCAUCUGCAAAGUGCAGGUGGAAUUUUUGGGAUCUACGUUGAAUUGUUUAAAAGCU